rnacentral:rRNA from 1 species
AAGGGCGCACGGUGGAUGCCUUGGCACUAGAAGCCGAUGAAGGACGUUACUAACGACGAUAUGCUUUGGGGAGCUGUAAGUAAGCUUUGAUCCAGAGAUUUCCGAAUGGGGAAACCCAGCAUGAGUUAUGUCAUGUUAUCGAUAUGUGAAUACAUAGCAUAUCAGAAGGCACACCCGGAGAACUGAAACAUCUUAGUACCCGGAGGAAGAGAAAGAAAAUUCGAUUCCCUUAGUAGCGGCGAGCGAAACGGGAAGAGCCCAAACCAACAAGCUUGCUUGUUGGGGUUGUAGGACACUCUAUACGGAGUUACAAAGGACGACAUUAGACGAAUCAUCUGGAAAGAUGAAUCAAAGAAGGUAAUAAUCCUGUAGUCGAAAAUGUUGUCUCUCUUGAGUGGAUCCUGAGUACGACGGAGCACGUGAAAUUCCGUCGGAAUCUGGGAGGACCAUCUCCUAAGGCUAAAUACUCUCUAGUGACCGAUAGUGAACCAGUACCGUGAGGGAAAGGUGAAAAGCACCCCGGAAGGGGAGUGAAAUAGAACCUGAAACCGUGUGCUUACAAGUAGUCAGAGCCCGUUAAUGGGUGAUGGCGUGCCUUUUGUAGAAUGAACCGGCGAGUUACGAUUUGAUGCAAGGUUAAGCAGUAAAUGUGGAGCCGUAGCGAAA